rnacentral:lncRNA from 1 species
UUAUCCACUAUGAUAUAUUUCUAUGCAAAAACCUGACAAUUUUUUUUUGGAUGUGUCACUGCAUUUCAGCUAGUGCUAAAGUGGAAGAUAGGCAAGACUCAAAAUUGGGGGGCCCUUUAGAACAUGUUAUCCCUUGUAUUACUUUGCAUGCUAAACUAAGAGUGGUUACCUAGCAUGCCACAUUUUGGUUACCAUCCUCAUUCAAUAUUAUCUACUGUAAGGCCUUGCUAUCGGGGUGAAUAAAUAAAAUUGUAAGGGUGGGUUCGUUUUUUCCCUUAAAAACUGGACCAAUCUAAGGGUGAUGGGUUCGUUUUUGUCCUAUCAUCUCCUUAUAAGUGAAAUUGGACAGUGGAUUUGCGCAGUACUAAGGUCUAUCCAUUGCACUGAGAUCCAAAUUUACUAGGUCGUUUUGAUUCACAUUAAGCUUCAAUUAUGGAGAGUACGCUGCUACCCACAUGGAGACGAAGAGAGUUCCAUGGUGUUUACCUCUCCCUCUAUCUACAGCUCGUCAGCUGUUCCAAGGAAGUCACAUUCCCAAAUGUGCGGCUAUAUACGGUACGUGAAACGGACCUAGGACAUAUAUAUGGUCCCAAAUCAAAACUGAUUAAUGUCUAAUUGUCUACAUAUAAAUUCUAGAGCUACUUUUUUCAAUUAUUCGGGUAAAAAAACUUUUUUCAAUUAAUUUCCAUCUAUUUACAUGUUCUCCAAUUUUUUGUUUGGAAAUAAGAAGAUGACUGCAUGGUUCUUAAAUUAUCUAAUAAAUUGAGUAUCAUCAUUAGUUUUCUUUUUAGUUAUGAUUAUAUAAUGUCGGUAGAUAUUUAGAAUGCAGGCCAAGUGAGGAUAUCUUUGAAACUAACACUCUCAUCACUACUUCUAGUUUUGUCUUUCCAAAUGUGCAGGUUGGUGAUGAGAAUAGGGAAGAGAUGGAUACUCAAGACAACACCAUACUUGUUGAGAGAAAUGAGAAGGUAGCCAUUCAACUAAACCCAUUCUGCGUUGCCCAAAACCUGAACCAUGAAAUGGAUAACGGUAUGAUUUCAGAGGAGCAAUCAUUGGUACUUGCACCACCAAAAAGUCUAAAAGUUAUUGAAAAUAAAUCAGAUUUGAGUUUGCAAAAUAAAAUGGCACAUAAUUAUGAUAAUACACAUGGUUCAAAUGGGAUUAACCAUACACGAAAUAUUUGCACUGAUUUGAUUAUUUCACAUGUUCACCCGUGUGCUGA